rnacentral:rRNA from 1 species
CGUAGGUGGCAAGCGUUGUCCGGAUUUAUUGGGUUUAAAGGGUGCGUAGGCGGCCCUGUAAGUCAGUGGUGAAAUACGGCAGCUCAACUGUCGAGGUGCCAUUGAUACUGCGGGGCUUGAGUGUUGAUGAGGUAGGCGGAAUUGACGGUGUAGCGGUGAAAUGCUUAGAUAUCGUCAAGAACACCGAUAGCGAAGGCAGCUUACCAAGCAAUAACUGACGCUGAGGCACGAAAGUGCGGGGAUCAAACAGGAUUAGAUACCCUGGUAGUCCGCACAGUAAACGAUGAUUACUCGAUGUUGGCGAUACACAGCCAGCGUCUUAGCGAAAGCGAUAAGUAGUCCACCUGGGGAGUACGCCCGCAAGGGUG